AGUGAACGCUGGCGGUAGGCCUAACACAUGCAAGUCGAACGGCAGCACAGUAAGAGCUUGCUCUUACGGGUGGCGAGUGGCGGACGGGGGAGGAAUACAUCGGAAUCUACUUUUUCGUGGGGGAUAACGUAGGGAAACUUACGCUAAUACCGCAUACGACCUACGGGUGAAAGCAGGGGAUCUUCGGACCUUGCGCGAUUGAAUGAGCCGAUGUCGGAUUAGCUAGUUGGCGGGGUAAAGGCCCACCAAGGCGACGAUCCGUAGCUGGUCUGAGAGGAUGAUCAGCCACACUGGAACUGAGAAACGGUCCAGACUCCUACGGGAGGCAGCAGUGGGGAAUAUUGGACAAUGGGCGCAAGCCUGAUCCAGCCAUACCGCGUGGGUGAAGAAGGCCUUCGGGUUGUAAAGCUCUUUUGUUGGGAAAGAAAAGCAGCAGGUUAAUACCCCGCUGUUCUGACGGUACCCAAAGAAUAAGCACCGGCUAACUUCGUG
rnacentral:rRNA from 1 species